rnacentral:rRNA from 1 species
CUGAAUAACUCAACAGAGCACAUGGGCUAGUCCUGGUGCCAUAUCUUUCAAGUGUCUGCCUUAUCAACUUUCGAUGGUAGUUUAUGUGCCUACCAUGGUUGUAACGGGUAACGGAGAAUCAGGGUUCGACUCCGGAGAGGGAGCCUGAGAAACGGCUACCACAUCCAAGGAAGGCAGCAGGCGCGCAAAUUACCCACUCUCGGCAAGAGGAGGUAGUGACGAAAAAUAACGAGGUAGUUCUCAUUGAGGUCUACCAUCGGAAUGAGUACAAUCUAAACCCUUUAACGAGGAUCUAUUGGAGGGCAAGUCUGGUGCCAGCAGCCGCGGUAAUUCCAGCUCCAAUAGCGUAUAUUAAAGUUGUUGCGGUUAAAAAG